UACGUAGGGUGCGAGCGUUGUCCGGAAUUAUUGGGCGUAAAGGGCUCGUAGGCGGUCUGUCGCGUCGGGAGUGAAAACUCAGGGCUUAACCCUGAGCCUGCUUCCGAUACGGGCAGACUAGAGGUAUGCAGGGGAGAACGGAAUUCCUGGUGUAGCGGUGAAGUGCGCAGAUAUCGGGAAGAACACCUAUGGCGAAGGCAGCUCUCUGGGACGGUACUGACGCUGAGACGCGAAAGCGUGGGGAGCGAACAGG
rnacentral:rRNA from 1 species